CAGAGACCAUCUAAAAUAUCCGCCAAAACAUGGGAUAUGUCCUGAUACAUGCUCAAAUAACUCUAGAAAUGCCAGUUUAAGCUUCUAAGGUUUGCCCUACCAGUACUGGAGCUGGAUAUCCAGUCCUCUUGGAAGUUUAUAGAAGCAUCAGCAGAACUUGUUGAGGCCCUAGAAGCAGUGAGCUCAUUCAAAAAAGUAGUCACCUAGCCAUGGUCUUGAUUGUGUGGGACAAGUGGACUUCUACUUCACCCAAGGGUUAAUAUGGACUUCCAAAAUGAGAUUUCUGUCAUGGCACCUAACACAAUGAGGAAGAGAGAAAAAGAGUAAGAGGUUAUUGCCCCAGUUUAAUUCUCUUGGAGAAAACCCAAAAAACUGGAAGUGAGAAGUGGAAAUUCAUAGAGAAUUUUGGGAAACUCCCGUGAAGGGGGCUUGCUCCUUCUCCGACAAUAUUAGAGCCAGUCCCUUUUUGAGAAUUUCUUCAUAUGCUGAAGCAUUAUGGUGCCAACCAGACACGUCAGAACACCACUCAGGCUACAAUCAAGAAAGAUAAAAGACUUGGAUGGACCUGCCUCCUGGGAGAUUCCAGUCCAAUCUGAGAUAUGUUCCCCUAGAGUCUUCCAUGAACCAAAGGCAGCCUGUGAACUAAGAAAAGUGGCUUCAUUAAACAAUGAAAAGUGUUGUGGAUUCAAGACUCAUACCUAUCCUAUGAAGGAUUCAAUGAAAUAUUGGCCACAGUUCACCUAUGUGGGGAUUUGAGGUUUUGAUUACAGAACAUUGGUCAUCAAUUCUGGUGUCCAUCCAAAUGACCUAUGGACCUCUUUCAAAAAUCUCUGUGUCUGGCCCAUCCUCCUGAGAUGAACUUAAGAAAACUCUGCACACCAUCAGAUUUUUGCAGGAUUUGACAGGAAUAACUCAUCUUUGGUCCACAAGGCAUCUACUGGAACUUGAAAGACCCACUGUUAAGACGACUCAUUAUGACUGAUAGAACACACAAACUACUUCAUAUUUGGAAGAGGAUAGAAGGCUGCCAUGAAAGCAGGCUUUGCUCCUGCUACAGGAUGCUUUCACGGAGUUCAGUGUCCUCAUCCAAAAGCUUACCAAUCUUAUUGUAAAACUCAUCCAUUAAAAAAAAAAAAAAAAAAAAAAAAGCCUAGAGAGUAUUUUAAGGAAAACACGUGUACCUACCCAGCUUUA